UACGUAGGGUGCGAGCGUUGUCCGGAAUUAUUGGGCGUAAAGAGCUCGUAGGCGGUGUGUCGCGUCGGCCGUGAAAACCUGGGGCUCAACUCUGGGCGUGCGGUCGAUACGGGCAUCACUUGAGUUCGGCAGGGGAGACUGGAAUUCCUGGUGUAGCGGUGAAAUGCGCAGAUAUCAGGAGGAACACCAGCGGCGAAGGCGGUGCUCUGGGCCGGAACUGACGCUGAGGAGCGAAAGCGUGGGGAGCGAACAGG
rnacentral:rRNA from 1 species